GACGAACGCUGGCGGCGUGCCUAACACAUGCAAGUCGAACGGAGAUCUUAUGGAAUGCGGCUUCGGCCAAAUGAAGUUUGAUCUUAGUGGCGGACGGGCGAGUAACGCGUGAGUAACCUGCCUCUCAGAGGGGGACAACAGUUGGAAACGACUGCUAAUACCGCAUAACGUCAAUUGGGGGCAUCCCCGAGUGACCAAAGAUUUUAUCGCUGAAAGAUGGACUCGCGUCCGAUUAGCUAGAUGGUGGGGUAACGGCCUACCAUGGCGACGAUCGGUAGCCGAACUGAGAGGUUGAUCGGCCGCAUUGGGACUGAGACACGGCCCAGACUCCUACGGGAGGCAGCAGUGGGGGAUAUUGCACAAUGGAGGAAACUCUGAUGCAGCAACGCCGCGUGAGGGAAGACGGUCUUCGGAUUGUAAACCUAGUUAUCAGGGACGAUUANGACGGUACCUGAAGAGAAAGCUCCGGCUAACUACGUG
rnacentral:rRNA from 1 species